rnacentral:rRNA from 1 species
GACGAACGCUGGCGGCGUGCCUAAUACAUGCAAGUUGAGCGCUGAAGGUUGGUACUUGUACCAACUGGAUGAGCAGCGAACGGGUGAGUAACGCGUGGGGAAUCUGCCUUUGAGCGGGGGACAACAUUUGGAAACGAAUGCUAAUACCGCAUAAAAACUUUAAACACAAGUUUUAACUUUGAAAGAUGCAAUUGCAUCACUCAAAGAUGAUCCCGCGUUGUAUUAGCUAGUUGGUGAGGUAAAGGCUCACCAAGGCGAUGAUACAUAGCCGACCUGAGAGGGUGAUCGGCCACAUUGGGACUGAGACACGGCCCAAACUCCUACGGGAGGCAGCAGUAGGGAAUCUUCGGCAAUGGACGAAAGUCUGACCGAGCAACGCCGCGUGAGUGAAGAAGGGUUUCGGAUCGUAAAACUCUGUUGGUAGAGAAGAACGUUGGUGAGAGUGGAAAGCUCAUCAAGUGACGGUAACUACCCAGAAAGGGACGGCUAACUACGUG